AUGAGAAAAGCAAGUAAGUCCCCGUUGACUUCGUUGUUUACUUGCUUCGUCACUUCCGUUUUUUUCUUCUAGAGCACUGGUUCACUGGCUGAACAGCCAAUCAGAAUGAUCAGAUGGCCCGACUGACUGACAAGCCCCGACGCCGAUUCAACAUGUCGAGUCGGCCAUUACAAAGCCGACGAGGAACAAUUUCAGCCGACGGUGCGGAACACACUGAGAAGAUUUAGUCGGCCGACGCACGAAAACUGCCCGACGGCCGACCGUCGGCUUGGUGUGUUCCAGGCUUGAUGCACCCUAACCAUAAGAACCUUUCAGUACAAUGCAUGCUGGAAACUAGAAAUCCACUGGACAAUUUUCAAAGGCCUAGGAGAAAUGCCAUAUCUUUCCCCUGUGCAAGGCACAUGGUUGAAUGACAAUAAAGCUUGACAAGAGUGACUGAGCAGACAGCCAAAGCGACAGAACAUGAGGGUGAUGAAGGUAAUUCACAGCUUGUCUAUUAACAUUUAUGAAGACAAGCAGCCAAGUUUGACAACAAAUAAGAUGAAUCUUUGAUCAUUAAAAAUGCUUUUGGCUCCCCGCAUGAGACAAACAGAGGACAAUGAGGAAAAUGAGAUAGCUUGUGAGGUAUUCUCUGGUCCAUUUCAGAG
ensembl:lncRNA